rnacentral:rRNA from 1 species
UAGAUACCCUGGUAGUCCAUGCCGUAAACGGUGGGCGCUAGGUGUAGGGGUCUUCCACGACUUCUGUGCCGUAGCUAACGCAUUAAGCGCCCCGCCUGGGGAGUACGGCCGCAAGGCUAAAACUCAAAGGAAUUGACGGGGGCCCGCACAAGCGGCGGAGCAUGUGGAUUAAUUCGAUGCAACGCGAAGAACCUUACCUGGCUUGACAUAUACAGGACUGGGCCAGAGAUGGUCUUUCCCUUUGUGGCUU